CCAAUAACAGACCAACAAACCAAACCGAACCCAAAGCCCAACCUAUAAAACACCUAAAAUGAACCUUCUCCAUUUUUCAUUCCUGCUGAUACGUAGAAGAAGGGAGAACUACGUUAAACCCCUAACCCUAACGUCUCCAAAAAUUCAAUCGUCCAUAACUUUCAAUCCGGAGAUUUGAUUGAUGAGUCGUCAGCGGCCAAACGUUCGUCUCAGAAUUCUCUACAAAAUUUAUCAAAUAAUUUGGAAUACUCUAGCAGUGGAUAAUCAUUGGAAUUUGUCCAUUUGACUCGUGGGUAACGAUCGUGUAUCUUGUUGAAUUGGAGUUAAAUUGGUGGAUAUUGGAAGCUUGGAAUUGAAUCCUCAGAGCUGAAAAUUCAAUUGGUGAGGAGUUGGAGCUUUGGAGCUUGAAGAACAGUAGAUAAUUGAGGUGAUCCGGGCUUAGUGAGGAAUUGGCCAAGGUAUAGUUUUAGUUUCUCAUAGAUAAAAUAUAAUGUAACGUGAAAACUUAGGCUAGAAGACCAUAAGAUAGGAAUGAACUGAAUAAAUUAUUGAUGGAUUAUGUAUAUAGUAUAUGGUAUACGAUGUGUGUAUAAAGGAUAAAUGAAUUUGUAUGUGUUGGAUUGUGAUUUUGAUGAGUAUAAAAUAAACAUGAUUGUUGAUGUGUUGAGAAUUGAUGGUGAGUUUGUGACAUUGAAUUGAAUGGAUUGGU